GGUUUUAACCCAAGUUAACCAGGGUUAGCAUGGAAUUCGACCUGUCGAAAGAUUGUGUUGAACAUUGAUAAUUUUUGGAACAGCUUCUUCGGGGUUAUCCGUUGAGGCGAA
rnacentral:sRNA from 1 species